UACGUAGGGGGCAAGCGUUGUCCGGAAUCAUUGGGCGUAAAGCGCGCGUAGGCGGCCAGAUUAGUCCGGUGUGAAAGUCAGAGGCUCAACCUUUGAAUGCCGCUGGAAACUGUCUGGCUUGAGUCCGGAAGGGGCGAGUGGAAUUCCUGGUGUAGCGGUGAAAAUGCGCAGAUAUCAGGAGGAACACCAAUGGCGAAGGCAGCUCGCUGGAACGGUACUGACGCUGAGGCGCGAAAGCGUGGGGAGCAAACAGG
rnacentral:rRNA from 1 species